rnacentral:rRNA from 1 species
UACGUAGGGUGCAAGCGUUAAUCGGAAUUACUGGGCGUAAAGCGUGCGCAGGCGGCUUUGCAAGACAGAUGUGAAAUCCCCGGGCUUAACCUGGGAACUGCAUUUGUGACUGCAUGGCUGGAGUGCGGCAGAGGGGAUGGAAUUCCGCGUGUAGCAGUGAAAUGCGUAGAUAUGCGGAGGAAGCACCGAUGGCGAAGGCAAUCCCCUGGGCCUGCACUGACGCUCAUGCACGAAAGCGUGGGAGCAAACAGG